GAUGAACGCUGGCGGCGUGCCUAAUACAUGCAAGUCGAGCGAACGGACGAGAAGCUUGCUUCUCUGAUGUUAGCGGCGGACGGGUGAGUAACACGUGGAUAACCUACCUAUAAGACUGGGAUAACUUCGGGAAACCGGAGCUAAUACCGGAUAAUAUUUUGAACCGCAUGGUUCAAAAGUGAAAGACGGUCUUGCUGUCACUUAUAGAUGGAUCCGCGCUGCAUUAGCUAGUUGGUAAGGUAACGGCUUACCAAGGCAACGAUGCAUAGCCGACCUGAGAGGGUGAUCGGCCACACUGGAACUGAGACACGGUCCAGACUCCUACGGGAGGCAGCAGUAGGGAAUCUUCCGCAAUGGGCGAAAGCCUGACGUAGCAACGCCGCGUGAGUGAUGAAGGUCUUCGGAUCGUAAAACUCUGUUAUUAGGGAAGAACAUAUGUGUAAGUAACUGUGCACAUCUUGACGGUACCUAAUCAGAAAGCCACGGCUAACUACGUG
rnacentral:rRNA from 1 species